rnacentral:lncRNA from 1 species
GGAAAACCUGCUGAUCAGAAUGAAGGUUACUUAUAUUACAAUAAACAUGUGUUGGUCUUGGCUAAUAUUGGUUUAAGUCACAGUCUCAUUUGAACUCAAAGUGCCUUUUGCUUUGGCUGCUCAAAGGACACAAUUGUCAUCAAGGAAUUGAAAUCUCUUCUGUUCCCCCAGCUGGAAGAAAAGAGAUUGGAGGUGGCAGUGGAAGGGACAGGGCACAAGAAAGAAAAGGAAAGGAACGCGGACGCUCGCACACAACUUCUUACAAUGGCUCUAGCAUGCCCUUCCAUUGGUUUCAAAGGCAGGGUUGCAGGGAAGAUGGAAGCCAAGACCUCUGUGCAGAAGAAGCAGAGCUUUCCCCAAACUGGGAUGGCAAGAGUUGAAAGAAAGUUUAGCCUUGAGAGCAGCUGCCAAAAUCAAAACCUUGUUCAAAGUUUAUUUGAUGUGAAUCGCAGGAGGUGUGACUACUGGGAUUUGCAUCCAAGCAGGAACCCUGCAGAAUUCUUCAAAUCCUGGUGACAAAGAAAACAAACUGAACGAACAGCACAUGGCCUUUAAAGAUGUCCUCGUCUGGUGUUCCUGGUGGAUUUGAGAUGAUAAAGGACUGAAUAUUUUCCAGCACGGCACCUACAAGAAAACCUGAGCGAGAGCACCAGACAAAGCCGUUUGACACAGCCCACCCCAGGAUGACUCAGGAAAUCCCUAAUCCAAAGCCUGGAGAACGCUCUGGGAUGCUCAGCACAGCCAAGGGGCAAGAAGUCCCUGUCUGCCUCCUGCUUUCCUUGAUGCUGGAGAGGAGAGGAGCUGUGGUGGGUAGGCUGCUGUGGCUGUACCAUCAUGGGUGGGAAAGCAGAACCACCACCAGCAUGUGGGCAGGGGUGCUCCUGGCACUUGGGGAGGCAUGGCACAACAGUGGGCGGGGGGCUGGGGAGAAGCAAACAUUGUCUAUUGCCUUGAUCCUUUGACAAAGUAUAAGAUGGGGGCCAUUAAAGCUAACACAUAUUUUAUGUGAGCAAAUUCAACAGAAAGAGGGGGGAAAAAAAAGAAAAGGAAAAAAAAAAGAAAGGGGGUAGGGUGAACAUGAGCUAAAUUUGAGCAAAUAUUUUGUUUCUAAAAAUCCCAGUGAAAGUCUACAAAACUGCAUCGCUUCCUCAGCUCUGUGAGUCUUGUGUUCUUCAGCUGCCUGGUGAAGUGCCAGCUAAUGGGGCCGUUAGAAAUGCCUUCUCCUUUCUAGGAACACAAAAAGAAGCGUGUCUGUAAUGAUACGUCUAUUUAAAAAUACACCCACUCCUGCCAGUCCCUCAAUUUGAAUAUUUCGAACUUGCAGAUAAGGCGGGCAGCAGGACUGCAGGGAGCGGGCUGCAGGAAUGCGAGCAGUGGCUCACCCUGCCCCAGGGCAGGCAGAGCACUACUGUACACCCACACCGCUGGGUACCUUGGGCAUUACAGUACCCACAGUGGUUGUGAGUUUGCUUAGGAAGGCUUGACUAGAAAACUGGCCUUUCAAAAAGAAAAACAAGCUUCUGAAAUGUGAUUGACAUCACAGAAGUGUUCUAUUUCUUCUGACAUUCCCCGUGAUUUUAAACCAGUAUUUCUGCACAGAGGAGGAUGAAAAUGUUGGGAGAAAGCAUUGUGCAAAGCAGACAACAGUAGCAAUAAUGAUCUGGCAGAAGGGGAACAUUUUCCCCAUCUUUAAAUUACUUUCCUUCUCUGAUCAAAGUACAAGAAUUGUGAUGGAUCAAGACUAUUGCCACUGUGAUAUCUGGGCAGGAUGGCUCAGCAUGCUGCUACUGUGCUGAGUUUGAUAGUUUAGAUGCUGAAAACCCCAUAAAGAAGAGCCCUGCUUAUGAGCAAAUGACAGUAAAAAUCUGUUUACACAAAUCUGACGUUAUUUAAUGGUGCAAAGUUUAAACCUACCCUGACAGUUUUUUUAAGGGCAAUGAUGUGGUUUCUCCAGCAUUCACG